rnacentral:rRNA from 1 species
GACGAACGCUGGCGGCGUGCUUAACACAUGCAAGUCGAACGGAAAGGCCCUGCUUUUGUGGGGUGCUCGAGUGGCGAACGGGUGAGUAACACGUGAGUAUCCUGCCCUUGACUUUGGGAUAACUUCAGGAAACUGGGGCUACUACCGGAUAGGAGCUGCUGCUGCAUGGUGGGGGUUGGAAAGUUUCGGCGGUUGGGGAUGGACUCGCGGCUUAUCAGCUUGUUGGUGGGGUAGUGGCUUACCAAGGCUUUGACGGGUAGCCGGCCUGGGAGGGUGACCGGGCACAUUGGGACUGAGAGAGGGCCCAGUCGCCUACGUGGGGCAGCAGUCGGGAAUAUUGCACAAUGGGCGGAAGCCUGUUGCAGCAGCGCCGCGUGCGGGAUGACGGCCUUCGGGUUGUAAACCGCUUUCGCCUGUGACGAAGCGUGAGUGACGGUAAUGGGUAAAGAAGCACCGGCUAACUACGUG